rnacentral:rRNA from 1 species
GAUGAACGCUGGCGGCGUGCCUAAUACAUGCAAGUCGAGCGAACAGACGAGGAGCUUGCUCCUCUGACGUUAGCGGCGGACGGGUGAGUAACACGUGGAUGACCUACCUAUAAGACUGGGAUAACUUCGGGAAACCGGAGCUAAUACCGGAUAAUAUAUUGAACCGCAUGGUUCAAUAGUGAAAGACGGUUUUGCUGUCACUUAUAGAUGGAUCCGCGCCGCAUUAGCUAGUUGGUAAGGUAACGGCUUACCGAGGCAACGAUGCGUAGCCGACCUGAGAGGGUGAUCGGCCACACUGGAACUGAGACACGGUCCAGACUCCUACGGGAGGCAGCAGUAGGGAAUCUUCCGCAAUGGGCGAAAGCCUGACGGAGCAACGCCGCGUGAGUGAUGAAGGUCUUCGGAUCGUAAAACUCUGUUAUUAGGGAAGAACAAAUGUGUAAGUAACUAUGCACGUCUUGACGGUACCUAAUCAGAAAGCCACGGCUAACUACGUG